rnacentral:rRNA from 1 species
GUAGGCUCCAUCCAAGGCUAAAUACUGGCACGAGACCGAUAGCGCACGAGUACCGUGAGGGAAAGUUGAAAACAACUCUGACCAGAGGGUGAAAAGAGGUGAAACCGCCUGGAUGGAAACGGAUGGGCACACAAGGUCGAACCGGGCGGCACAACCAUGAUGUUGCUCGGGGGCGGGCUCUGGACCUCCCCUAAGGAGGUCUGACCUGUCCCACUCCCCCUACUGAGGGGGGGAGGGAUGGGUCUUCCCGGGACAGGUUGUAGAUGGGGUUCCUUCUGGCUUCCAACGUCGAAGCCGCCGGGCAGAGCUGAGUAAACGCCCUGGCAACCGGUGUCAUGCGGCCCGGUGAGAGAGCCACGGCCGGUUGGGGCCUGGGCCAGAAGUCCGAGGGCUCGGAAGGUAUCCCCUCCUGUAGGGAUUUGACUCUGCUCCUUCCUCGGUCGUCUAACGGCUGGGGGAUGGUUGGUGGGGCAAUCCCUGGAGAUGGUGAGAUGAUCUGGGCCGAUGCUAAGUCAGCUGGCGAGAGAAAGGACAGGCUGGCCCCGACCGUUCCAAUGCAAAGCUAUUCGCUGUCACCUCGACAAGGGGCCAGAGAUGGCCUGAGGUCAUUGGCAGAGCCUGGGUGUGAAGGGGAAUCCCAUUCCCCGUGAUGCCUGAGCCGGCCCAACCCGAUGUGGUCCAAUGACGGCUCCCCUGCUCCGGCGCCGCCCUUUAGACCAUCUGGAGGUGGGUGCCCCCCUGGGCACCUUUCCCCGGGUGCAGCGGGCUGUCCACAGCCCGGCUCCCGGGCCGAGGGGAGAGCGCGCCAAGAUUGGGCCUUAGGAAAUCGGGGGGCUUGAAAAAGAGGCCAUGAAGGCAGAGGCACCCGGACGACAGGGGGUCGGAGACAGAGGGCGGACGAUGGGGGGCUCGCCAUGGCAAAAACAAUGGGAGAGGAAGAGGGGGAGCAUCCGCUUCCCCCCUGCCUAGCCCAGCUGUGGCGGACAGCCCCAAAGAAGGAGAGAGGCCGGCAGGAAUGCCCCUCCUCCGAAAGACAAUGUCCGCUCCUCGGAGCCCCUUUCAGGUANNNNNNCCAGUGCCUCCACCGGGUUCCCGCAGGAGACCCCCUCCGCAUGGCCGAACCGACGGCGCAGGCCCUUGAAAGGGAGGGGUGUGGACGCGGGAAUGUAGCUUGAGAAUGCGUGGUGCUAAGUGGGCCACUUUUGGUAAGCAGAACUGGCGCUGUGGGAUGAACCAAAUGGCGGGCUAAGGUGCCUAAAUCGUCACUCAUCAGAUCCCAAGAAAUGUGUCAGUCGGUACAGACAGCAGGACGGUGACCACGGAAGUCGGGAUCCGCUAAGAAGUGUGUAAAAACUUACCUGCCGAACCGCCUGGCCAUGAAAAUGGAUGGCGCUGGAGCGACGUACCGAGACCCGCCCGUUCGUGGGCAGGCGAACAACGGGCAGCGAGGCAAAAAAAGAAAAGAGAAGGAGGGAGCUGGUCCCGUGCCGCCGGGGAAGCCUGAACGAGUAGGGGGGCGCGGAGGUGAGCGCAGAAGCCCGGUCCGUGGGGCCGGGAGGAGCCGCCUCUGGUGCAGAUCUUGGUGGAAGUAGCAAAUACUCCAGAGAGAACCUUGAGGGCCGAAGGGGAGAAGGGUUCCGCGGCGACGUCAUGCGUCCGCGGGUGAGUCGGUCCUGAGAGGUCGGCCAUUGCCGUUUAAAAGGGGGGGCCUUUUGCCCCCUGCGCUCGAAAGGGAAUCAGGCCACGGUUCCUGUACCCAGAACCCGAUAGGAUCGCCCGACUCACGAGUACCGAGGACGGAGUCUAGCAGCGGGGAGCAGGGUAGCCGCAUCUGUAUAUACCCCCUUUCUGCGGUUGCUCGGUGAGCUGUUGCUGGUUGAGAGGCUCCCGAUGGGGAAAGGGGCUGGCGUGAAAUGCGGCGACGCGCGCGAGCCAGGAGACGCCAGCGGUCGGACCGGCCAGGACUAUCUCUUCUGGUUGAGAGACGGUGAGCCCCCCGGAGUUUGGGCUUCGGGCCGAGAAGGGGGGGAAGUACUCGCAAAGCGUCCCCGAGUAGGGCGUCCGGGAACCGUCCGCUGGCCCUUGAAAAUCCUGGGGAGAGACUGUAGUAAGCCAAAAACAAAAUCGAUUCGGGCCUGGGCCGUACCGAUAUCCGCAUCAGGUCUCCAAGGUUUGAAGCCUCUGGCCAAUAGAACACUGUAGGUAAGGGAAGUCGGCAAAUUGGAUCCGUAACUUCGGAAGAAGGAUUGCCUCUGGGGGCCGGGCAGCACCUGGUCCGACCGGAAGCGGAGAAGGGGCCCGCCUGUCAAAUGCUGGGGGGCAACCCGCCGUGGAAGGGCACGACUUAAGUGGCCGGGAAUCGAGUGCGCGUCGCCGUAGGGCCGCGCCCCCGCAACCGCAAGGGCUGCCGGAGCGGUCGACGUGGAGGUGUCACGGUCCGGGGGAAUCCGACUGUCUAAUUAAAACAUAGCCUCUCGAAAACCGGCGAUCGGUGCUGACG